rnacentral:rRNA from 1 species
UGGGGAAUAUUGCACAAUGGGGGAAACCCUGAUGCAGCAACGCCGCGUGCGGGAUGACGGCCUUCGGGUUGUAAACCGCUUUCAGCCAUGACGAAGCUUUUGUGACGGUAGUGGCAGAAGAAGCACCGGCUAACUACGUGCCAGCAGCCGCGGUGAUACGUAGGGUGCGAGCGUUGUCCGGAAUUAUUGGGCGUAAAGAGCUUGUAGGCGGUUUGUCGCGUCGAAAGUGUAAACUCAGUGCUUAACGCUGAGCCUGCUUUCGAUACGGGCUGACUAGAGGAAGGUAGGGGAGAAUGGAAUUCCCGGUGGGGCGGUGGAAUGCGCAGAUAUCGGGAGGAACACCAGUGGCGAAGGCGGUUCUCUGGACCUUUCCUGACGCUGAGAAGCGAAAGCGUGGGUAGCAAACAGG